UGCAACGUCUUUAAAUGCACGCAGAUAACUGAGCGGAUGUAACCAGCAUCGUGAUCACCCCCCUUCCUGCUUUAUGCCAGCUGCAGUCCUAAAAAUAAUAAUAAUAAUAAAAAAAAGCUAAGGGGCGUACUUUGAGGUACACGACCCAAACAAUAACAAAAGCCCCAGUAAUGACAGCGCGCCAUAAACUCAGCUGCGAAACUUCAAAAGGGCUGUAAACUUGAGGAAGGUAAAACGGCGCGUCUCAGGGGAAGGUGUUAAACCGGAAAGAUUUAAAAGAAGCUGUAGAGUUUCCCGGCAGGACGCCGCGCGCAACGACUCUGACAUGAAAAAGACACUACGCGAGCGGUGGGAAAUGUUCACAAAACACCAAACGGGUUUGUUCCUGUUUCCUCCCUGGGGAUUGGAGGGAGACUGUCUCACCUGAAGCACUGGCCAAUCAGGUGCACCUCCUUGUCACGUACAACGGCUCAGCCAGCCGUCCCUUUGGGGGGAGGCGGACUCUUCAGAUGCAAAGCUGUUGUGUCAGCUUUUGUUACCAUGGGAACCUUGCUAAGCAACAAGGCGAUGCACUUCCUGACCGCUGAACCCUGGGUGGACUGCACGGCGGCCUGAUUUCGCUGCGUCGGCGUGGGUUUCUGCUGCGUAAGAAGUUCUGGAACUGCGGUGUGCUGCUGCAGUGUGGCGCUGCAUUAGAGAUAUGGUAUGAAUUAAUGCACUGCACCCAUAACCACACGAUUGAGUAACAACAUAGCGAUUACAUUUGACGUUAAAAUAUCGCACUAUUUUUGGCUCAAGGCACUGCGAAACAUUUGCGACGAUUUUACCGAAAAUUUAAAGAAGUAAAUGCUCGUUUAUAACAGAAAAGAGAUUCAUUUAAUUGAUCAUAACAUGGAACAUAAUUAAUAAAAUCUUGGUAAUUGCAUCUGAAUGUACUUGGAGUAAAAUAUGUUUUUUUUUUUUGGCUUAAUUUAAAUGACGAAUUACCAUGAUCUGUAAUAUUUUAGCCUGAGAAACCCCUGAUAGGAGCUGAAUGAAUGCGCGCACAUUUAAUAAGAGUGUGUCACUGCGUAAAAGGGCCCCCUGUAUUAAUGACAGCCAGUGAGCGCUAGUUAAUAUGCAUCCUACUGCCUGCUAAUGCGCCUCCAACAUUAAACUGUGCAAAAUAUCUCAAUACAUUUCUUUACAGCUCCUGCUGAACUCAUUUCAAUGUCUAACAAAUCAGCUGAAUCAUUAACUAUUUUCUCAUGAGGAAAAGCCGUCAUCGACAAAUGCAGAGACAAACAAAAUAACUAAAUAACGAAACAGUUUGUGCAGCCCGGUGCAAGAGGCGUACUACAUAUUGCAACACAUAUUGAUCUCUAUGAUAUUUAGUAAAAAAAACAAAAAAAAAUGUAUUUUUCUGAUAUACAUUGGCAGAAGUUACAUAGAAUAUUUAGCUGUGGAAACGCUAUUCCUAUUCCUAUUGGAAUAAGCCCAACGUUUUACAUUUAAUUGGAUUCGAAACUUGGCAAUAUUCUAAUAUGAUUGCCCUUGGCAGGUUCUGGAUGUGUUAUUGGGAAGCCCAAAGCACUCUUUAAUUUGGAAAGAUGUCUUUAACAUUGUCAAAUUAAAUAGAGUACAUGUUACUUGCCAGUUCAGGCAAAUGAAGAAAAACAUACUUGACAUACUUAACUGUCAACAAUUAAAUCUGAAUUGAAUAUUGCUGUAAAAUCCUUGUGGGGCUAAAUAGGACAAAAAACUGUUCGACACAUGUAAGACAUGAAAACACAGCCCCCACUAACCCCCCCCCCCCCCAUUCAACCUCAGGGUUGGGGUUAGGGGUUAAAGGUCAAAGGUCUUAUUGGUGGGAGAUAGAGCAGAGUUUAAGGUCACUUCUGAGCACUUCACAGUAACGUGCAGUAUUUACUGAG